rnacentral:rRNA from 1 species
UCCGUAGGUGAACCUGCGGAAGGAUCAUUACCGAGUGAGGGCCCUCUGGGUCCAACCUCCCACCCGUGUUUAUUUUACCUUGUUGCUUCGGCGGGCCCGCCUUUACUGGCCGCCGGGGGGCUCACGCUCCCGGGCCCGCGCCCGCCGAAGACACCCCCGAACUCUGUCUGAAGAUUGCAGUCUGAGUGAAAACGAAAUUAUUUAAAACUUUCAACAACGGAUCUCUUGGUUCCGGCAUCGAUGAAGAACGCAGCGAAAUGCGAUACGUAAUGUGAAUUGCAAAUUCAGUGAAUCAUCGAGUCUUUGAACGCACAUUGCGCCCCCUGGUAUUCCGGGGGGCAUGCCUGUCCGAGCGUCAUUGCUGCCCUCAAGCCCGGCUUGUGUGUUGGGCCCCGUCCCCCGAUCCCGGGGGACGGGCCCGAAAGGCAGCGGCGGCACCGCGUCCGGUCCUCGAGCGUAUGGGGCUUUGUCACCCGCUCCGUAGGCCCGGCCGGCGCCUGCCGAUCAACCCCAAAUUUUUAAUCCAGGUUGACCUCGGAUCAGGUAGGGAUACCCGCUGAACUUAAGCAUAUCAAUAAGCGGAGGA